GACGAACGCUGGCGGCGUGCCUAAUACAUGCAAGUAGAACGCUGAAGGAGGAGCUUGCUUCUCUGGAUGAGUUGCGAACGGGUGAGUAACGCGUAGGUAACCUGCCUGGUAGCGGGGGAUAACUAUUGGAAACGAUAGCUAAUACCGCAUAAGAGUAGAUGUUGCAUGACAUUUGCUUAAAAGGUGCAAUUGCAUCACUACCAGAUGGACCUGCGUUGUAUUAGCUAGUUGGUGGGGUAACGGCUCACCAAGGCGACGAUACAUAGCCGACCUGAAAGGGUGAUCGGCCACACUGGGACUGAGACACGGCCCAGACUCCUACGGGAGGCAGCAGUAGGGAAUCUUCGGCAAUGGACGGAAGUCUGACCGAGCAACGCCGCGUGAGUGAAGAAGGUUUUCGGAUCGUAAAGCUCUGUUGUAAGAGAAGAACGAGUGUGAGAGUGGAAAGUUCACACUGUGACGGUAUCUUACCAGAAAGGGACGGCUAACUACGUG
rnacentral:rRNA from 1 species